GAAGUGAGUGAAGGAUAACAUACGUUGCUUCCUUUCCAUGUCUGGUAGGUGCGGAGAAGCUCCGGCGAGUCGUCGGCGGCGGCAUCGGAUAGCUUCGGUGGAUGUACGACAUGCAUGAUGAUGAUGAUUCUGUGUGAAAGGAAGGUGAAUGAGACAGCUACCGGUGGCGGAUUGUUGACUCCAUUAAUGGAAUGAAUGAAUGCGUCAAAGGAAACGGCCGACGACAAUUUACUCUUUUCAAUUAAAUUUCAAAGUGGUAAAGUUUUUUUUUUCUUUUUUUUCUUUUUUUUAUGGGUCUGACUUCUUGCGGGUUUAGCACUUAAUGGUUCAGAGUGUUUGUUUCGUAAGCAAAUGUCUGAAUGGUUCAAACAUUUGGCUCUGAAUGGUUAAGACCUCUUAUUUGAAUUGGUCAGAUAUUUGUCCUGAAUGAUUAAGCAUUAUACUGGCUCUUAAGAGUUCAGACUUUUUUACUGAUUCAGCACUUAAUGAUUCAGAUCUCUUACUGAUUCAACACUGAUCCAUCCUUAAAAAAUUAUGUGUUUUCCUUUUUCAAAGUGGUAAAGUUGUAAAGUGGUAGAAAUAAAUGUUAUGUU
rnacentral:lncRNA from 1 species